CAGCAGCCGCGGUAAUACGUAGGGUGCGAGCGUUAAUCGGAGUUACUGGGCGUAAAGCGUGCGCAGGCGGUUGUGUAAGACAGGUGUGAAAUCCCCGGGCUUAACCUGGGAACUGCGCUUGUGACUGCACAGCUAGAGUAUGGCAGAGGGGGGUGGAAUUCCACGUGUAGCAGUGAAAUGCGUAGAGAUGUGGAGGAACACCGAUGGCGAAGGCAGCCCCCUGGGCCAAUACUGACGCUCAUGCACGAAAGCGUGGGGAGCAAACAGGAUUAGAUACCCGCGUAGUCCCUGUCUCUUAUAC
rnacentral:rRNA from 1 species